CGUUAGCGGCGGACGGGUGAGUAACACGUGGGUAACCUACCUAUAAGACUGGGAUAACUUCGGGAAACCGGAGCUAAUACCGGAUAAUAUUUCGAACCGCAUGGUUCGAUAGUGAAAGAUGGUUUUGCUAUCACUUAUAGAUGGACCCGCGCCGUAUUAGCUAGUUGGUAAGGUAACGGCUUACCAAGGCGACGAUACGUAGCCGACCUGAGAGGGUGAUCGGCCACACUGGAACUGAGACACGGUCCAGACUCCUACGGGAGGCAGCAGUG
rnacentral:rRNA from 1 species